GUUUUGAAAACGGUGUUGAUACAGUGGAAGGCUUGUGGUGUUGCUGGCCCUUGAUCGCUGGAAGGAUUCCGAGGAAAAGGACAACAACCUGUGUGGGUUCCCUCCCGACAACUGAAAUUGCACCAUAACUCCCAAGAAGAAACACUCCCAGAAACAAAAGGCAAAGACCCCUCUGAAACCAAAGAGCAAGUAUCACCGCCUGACACAUAAACUUCAUGACCUCGACAUUGAGACAAAAUCUCGCCGUGUGACCUACAACACCACUCAUUUAACUCCACCAACUUGGGGUCAAAUAAAGGUCUUAUCCCAUCAACAGAAAAAUCAUUAAGAGAAAAAUGAAUCCCCAAAACGACAGGUAAUAUAAUUCUGGCUGCCUUUAUGGUAGUCAGUGCAGUGGUGAGUAUACCACCAGUUUGGGCAACUCAAAAUUAUACCUACUGGGCAUGUGUUCUUUUCCCCCUUUAAUUCAGUCUGUCUCCUGGAUGGACUCCUCAGUAGAAGUUUACACUAAUAAUAGUGCAUUCAUGCCGGUCCCUAAUGAUGAUAGGUUUCCAGCUCAACCAGAAUAAGAAGGUAUGCACUUUAAUCUGUCAAUUGGCUAUAAAUAUCCACCACUAUGCACUGGGAUGUCGCCUGGCUGUUUAGUUUAUUCUUACCAGAAUUGGAUGUGGACAGUACCGUCCUUUACAAAUGAUUCUUAUCAAGUACAUAAUGUGUUCAGUAGCAAUUCUUUUCAACUUCUGUUAAACUUAAUCCACAAGAGGAAUGGUGGGUUCUGGUCACUACUAACAGCAAUAAAACAAAAGGACUGCCAGACUGCCCAAAGGAAUCUACAAAGGGACCUUUUCUGGUGAAUUCAAUUUUAUGGAAUAAUUGUAAUGCCAUUAUUGGCGGGAUUGCUCCAGCCAGAAUACGACAUGCUCAGAGUUCAAUUAUUUGUUACAAUAUUAGAGGACGGAUGGCAGUCCUACAGGUUGAGAGAAUGGGUGUCUCCUUACCCAUUCAAAUGGAUGAACACAGGCAUUGUUCCUUCUAGACCAAAAAUGAUUCAUCCCAUUGUUACCCCAGAACAUCCUGAAUUAUGGAAAUUAGCUGCAGCUAUGACAGGAAUAAGGAUAUGGAGUGCUACCUAUCAACUCUCUCCCACUAAUAUCAAAACACCCACAUUCAACAUCACCUUGAUGUCUGAACAGGUGAUACGUAUCAGGAGCUGUGUCAAACCCCCUUACAUGCUGUUGGUUGGAAAUAUAAUUAUCAUUCCCAAUACACAAAAUAUAGAAUGUGAUAAUUGUAAGCUGUUCAUGUGCAUUGAUGCUACUUUUAAUCCCACAACAAGUAUUCUAUUCGUAAGGGCUAGGGAGGGGGUAUGGAUACCAGUUUCUUUACAUCAUCCAUGGGAGUCUUCCCCCUCUAUACACAUAGUCAAUGAAGUUCUUAAAGGUAUCCUGAAAAGAACAAAGUGAUUUAUUUUUACUGUUAUUGUAGUCAUUGCAGGUCUAAUUGCGGUUUCUGCAACAGUGGCAACCGCUGGAGUUGAGAUCCACAGUUCUGUUCAAACCACUCAAUAUGUUGAAGCAUGGCAAAAAAACUCCUCCAGACUUUGGAAUUCUCAGACUCAAAUUGAUCAAAAGUUAGCUAAUCAAAUUAAUUAUCUCCACCAAAGUGUAAUAUGGCUGGGAGAUACAGUUAUGAAUUUGGAACACCGUAUGCAAUUACAAUGUGAUUGGAAUACUUCUGAUUACUGUAUAACACCUUAUGCUUAUAAUAAAGAUCAGCAUAGCUGGGAAUCGGUCUCAAGACAUUUAAAAACCUGGGAUGAUAACUUAACCUUGGAUAUUUCAAAACUUAAAGAACAAAUUUUUGAGGCUUCACAGGCUCAUUUAUCCACUGUUCUGGGCUCAGACAUUUUUGAAGGAAUAGCUAAAGAAUUAUCUGAUCUUAAUCCCUUUAAAUGGAUCAAACCCCUCAGAGGAUCAUUGUUGUCACUGGCAUUAUUAAUAUUGGUAUGCUUAUGUUGUCUACUUUUAGUCUGCAGAUCCCGCAAGGAAUCCGAAGACAAGUCCAAAGUCAACGACAAGCAAUGAUGGCAAUGGUGAUCCUAGUUAAUAAAAAGCGGGGAGAUGUGGGUGGCAAGCCACCCAGGUGCCGAGGCAAGAGACCGAGAGCACGAGCUGUUCCAGUGUAAUAAAAUAUAUAAAAUAACAAGAGUUAUACUGAUAUAGCUCAUAGAUAUGAUUAUAUAUAAAUACCAUUAAUCAUUAGUUUGUAGUAAUUACUCUUUAUUCAAAUAUUAUAAUAAUCCUCACUCUACAAUCAUAACCUAGAAAAAGGCAGGCCAUGCAGAGAUAGGAGCUGAGGGGACAUGGUGAGAAGUGACAAGAAGACAAGAGUGUGAGCCUUUUGUUAUGCCCAGGCAGGGCCACCAGAGGGCUCCUUGGUCUAGCAGUAAUGCCAGCGUCUGGGAAGAUGCCCGUACCAAGCGGACCAUGGUCUAGUGGUAGCGUCAGUGCCAAGGAAAAGCACCUGCUACUGAGCAGACCAGGAAAGGGAGUCUCCCUUUCCCCAGGGGAGUUUAGAGAAGACUCUACUCCACCAUCUCUUAUGGAGGGCCUGACAUAAGUCAGGCCUGCCUGCAGUUAUCCAGAGGCCUGACCGUCUCCCUGUGAUGCUGUGCUUCAGUAGUCAUGCUCCUGGUCUGCUUUCAUGUUCCAUCCUGUACACCUGGCUCUGCCUUCUAGAUAGCAAUAGCAGAAUUACUGAAAGUAUUAAAAGUCUCUGAAAUGCAGAAAUAAUGGUGUAAGCUGUCUCUCCUCUCUCUCCGCCUCGGCUGCCAAACAGGGAAAGGCUCCCUUUCCAGUGGAUGCAUGACCCACGUGACCUUACCUAUCAUUGGAGAUGGCUAACACUCCUUACCCUGCCCCCUUGUCUUGUAUCCAAUAAAUAACAGCGCAGCCUGGAAUUUGGGGCCACUACUGGUCUCCACGUCUUGGUGGUAGUGGUCCCCCAGCCCCAGCUGUCUUUUCUUUUAUCUCUUUGUCUUUUGUCUUUGUUUCUAUGAUCUCUUGUCUCCGCACACGGGGAGAAAAACCCACAGACCCUGUAGGGCUGGCCCCUACAGGCUCUCAACUGUGUCUCUGUUCAGCCCUGCUGUAGGGCUCUCAACCUUCUGCCUGUUUGGCCUGGCAAUGAGGCCCUCAACCCUAUCCCUCCACAGCCUGGUUAUCCAUCUCUCACUUCUGCUUCUCCUUUGGUGCAUCAGGCUCCCUCGAAGCCUGUCCUGCAGUUACUGCAGCAGCCUUGAUUUCUCAACCCUAAAAGACCUGCCCAGCAGGUAAUCGCACCUCAUCCUGGCUUACAGGUUCUUGAUUCUUCCUCUAUUCAAAACUCGAAUCUCUUUUUGGCUUCUGGUCCGGUUACCACUGCUGUUGCCACCACCAUGGCUGCUCAUAAGCAACAGGUUACAUACAUUCCUGAAAAUGACACUCCUCUUAUGAGAGCCAUUUCUCAAGCCAGGGAGUAUGGGCAUCCUGAGGCCUAGCAACUUCCUCUUAUUCUACAUCCCCAUAUACCUGCCGCUCCUGUUGCUGUGGCACAGGAUCAGCCACAGCCCGCUGAUCCUGCUCAGCAGGUGGCUGAUCACACGGCUCCCCAAGGUCCGCAGCCUGAAAAUCAGGCUCCUCAGGCAAAUAAUCAGGCUCCUCAACCUAUACCAUAAAUGCUUGCUGCUGUAGCGCAGCCAGCUCCAGGUAUACCUGCAGUCCAGGCAGUAGUCCAACCAGAUCCUUUUCAUCCAGGCCAGGUCCAGUUACUCCCUGCUACACGGGAAAGUUUUUCUUUUAAAUUCCUCAAAGAUUUCAAAGAAUCAGUGAAACAAUACAGCACCAUCUCCCCUUUUGUGCAUUCCACAUUAAAAGCUCUAGCAGAGGAUAAACGUUUGGUGCCUUAUGACUGGGGAAUUCUAGCAAAAUCAGUAUUAUCUGAAUCCCAAUAUUUAUAAUUCAGGACUUGGUGGGUUGAUGCUGUCCACGAUCGAGUUCAGCUUAAUCAAGGCUCUAAUCCUCCUGUUAAUAUUACAGCUGACCAGUUAUUGGGAAUGGGACAAUGGCCUGCAAUUACAAAUCAAACUAUACUAAAUGAUGAGGUCAUUCAACAGCUUCGCAAAUGCUGCCUAUAUACUAAUAGUAGUGCAUUUAUACCAGUCCCUAACGAUGACAGGUUUCCUGCUCAACCAGAGGAAGAAGGUAUGCAGUUUAAUUUGUCAAUUGGAUAUAAAUACCCGCCAUUGUGCAUAGGAAUGUCACCUGGCUGCUUAGCUUUCUCUAAUCAAAAUUGGAUAUGGACUGUACCGUCCUCUAAUAAUGAUUCUUAUCAAGUACAUAAUGAGUUUAGUAGUAAUUCUUUUCAGAUCAUGACUGUUAAACUUAAUCCUCAUGAGGAAUGGAGAGUUCCCGUCACUACCAAACAUAAUACAACAAAAGGACUGCUAGACUGUUCAAGUGAACCUACCAGGGAACCUUUUACAGUUGAAACUAUUGUAUGGAAUGAUUGUAAUGCUCCAAAAGCAGUAGUGUUACAGGGCCUGAUUACAGGUGGUUAUUGACUGGGCUCCAAGAGGAUAUUAUUGGCUAAAUUUUUCCAGCCUAAAUGCCAAAUAUUCUGAGUUCAACUAUUUGAUAGAUUAUGUAGAGGAGGGAUGGCAGUCCUACAGGCUGAGGGAAUGGGUGUCUCCUUACCCAUUCAAAUGGAUGGACAAAGUGAUCAUUCCUCCUAGACCAAAAGUGAUUCAUCCUAUUGUUACCCCAGAACAUCCUGAAUUGUGGAAAUUGGCUGCUGCCAUGACUGGAAUUAGGAUAUGGAAUGUAACCUAUCAGAUCAUUCCCACUAAUACCAAGACAGACGUAUACAAAGUCACCUUGAUGUCUGAACAGGUGAUACCUAGCAGGAGCUGUGUAAAAUCCCCUUAUAUGCUAUUAGUCGGAAAUAUAAUUAUCACCCCCCAACAGCCAAACCAUAGAAUUUGAUGAUUGCAAAUUGUUUACAUGUAUUCGUGUUACAUUUCAUCCCAUAACAAGUAUUCUCCUGGUAAGGGCUAGGGAGGGGGUAAGGAUACCGUUUCUUUACACCACCCUUGGGAGUCUUCUCCCUCUAUUCAUAUAGUCAAUGAAAUCCUUAAAGGAAUCCUUAAGAGAACGAAGAGAUUCAUCUUUACUCUUAUUGCAGUCAUUGCAGGAUUAAUUGCUGUCACUGCCACAGCAAUGGCAGCUGGAGUUGCUAUCCACAACUCUGUUCAGACCACUCAAUAUGUGGAAGUGUGGCAAAAAAACAAACAAACAAACAAAAACUCCACCAGACUCUGGAAUUCUCAGGCUCAAGUUGAUCAAAUUUGGCUAAUCAAAUUAAUGAUCUCCACCAGAGUGUGAUAUGGCUGGGAGAUAGAGUUAUGAAUUUGCAACACCGUAUGCAAUUACAAUGUGAUUGGAAUAAUUCUGAUUAUUGCAUAAUGCCUUAUGCUUAUAAAAAAGAUCAGCAUAGCUGGGAAAAAGUCAUGAGACAUUCAAAGCCUGGGAUGAUAAUCUAACUUAAGAUAUUUCAAAACUGAAAGAGCAAAUUUUGGGGGCCUCACAGGCUCACUUAACUACCGUUCCUGGCUCUCAUAUUUUUGAGGAAAUCACCAAAGUAUUAUCCGAUCUUAAUCUUUUUAAACGGAUCAAACCCCUUAGAGGUUCACUAUUGUCACUAGCAUUACUGAUAUUGGUGUGUUUAUGUUGUCUGCUUUUAGUAUGCAGAUGUCUUCAGGGAGUCCGAUGAAAAGCCCAAAGUCAACAAGCAAUGAUGGCAAUGAUGAUCCUAGUCAAUAAAAAGAGGGGAGAUUUGGGCAGCUGUGGACGAAGGAUUACCCAGGUGCCAAGACAGGAGACUGAAGGCACAAACUGUAGCAGUAUAAUAAAGAAAAUAGUUAGAAUAAAGAAUACUUACAAUACAAAUUAGAUAUAGAGAUGAUCAUGGACAAUUAUCAAUCAAUAAUGUAUAAACAUUAUUAAUCAUUAGCUUUUAAUAUUAGUCUUUGUUG
rnacentral:lncRNA from 1 species